AUUGAACGCUGGCGGCAGGCCUAACACAUGCAAGUCGAGCGGAUGAAGGGAGCUUGCUCCUGGAUUCAGCGGCGGACGGGUGAGUAAUGCCUAGGAAUCUGCCUGGUAGUGGGGGAUAACGUCCGGAAACGGGCGCUAAUACCGCAUACGUACUGAGGGAGAAAGUGGGGGAUCUUCGGACCUCACGCUAUCAGAUGAGCCUAGGUCGGAUUAGCUAGUUGGUGGGGUAAAGGCCUACCAAGGCGACGAUCCGUAACUGGUCUGAGAGGAUGAUCAGUCACACUGGAACUGAGAAACGGUCCAGACUCCUACGGGAGGCAGCAGUGGGGAAUAUUGGACAAUGGGCGAAAGCCUGAUCCAGCCAGGCGGCGUGUGUGAAGAAGGUCUUCGGAUUGUAAAGCACGUUAAGUUGGGAGAAAGGGCAGUAAGUUAAUACCUUGCUGUUUUGACGUUACCAACAGAAUAAGCACCGGCUAACUACGUG
rnacentral:rRNA from 1 species